UUAUGGACUAGGCUGGGAGGUUAGUUCUCUCCUGUGACUGCAAAUGAACUUUAUGGCAGGGCCGAAGCUUGGGUGAGGCAUUGAGAUCAGCUAUCAGUCUUGAUUCGGACGACGAGGCUUUGUCCUGUGGGGUUGGUAGUUUUGAGAAUCCCGCCAGGCUGGGAACAGAGCAGCGGUCAUCAUGAUUAUUGGCGCUCAUAGCCAACAAGGCUGAGAAAGAGUCAGGGGUGCUGGCAGCUGGUGUUGAUGUCGGGUCCCAGGCGCGUCCAUAU
rnacentral:SRP_RNA from 1 species